ensembl:lncRNA
AGAGGAAGUGUGGGCAGCUGAGCUGGGUUAUCCAGACCAGUGCAGCUCAUCUAGGAUUGACUCUGAUGAGUCUCCAGAGACCUGGAAUCUGAUGGAUCUACUGAUGUAUCCCAGUAGGCAGAGGUUGCAGACAGCCAAGAUGUUCAGUCCUUAGCAAGACAACAGAACUGCGGAUGGAGGGUGAUGUUAUUUGCAUAUCUGCUGCUGCUGCUGCUGCUAAGUCACUUCAGUCAUGCCCAACUCUGUGCUACCCCAUAGACGGCAGCCCACCAGGCUCCCCCACCCCUGGGAUUCUCCAGGUGAGGAUGCGUGAGGCUCCGUGUUCCCCGGCAGACUGGAGGGCGCCAGCCUUGCCCACCCACCAGCAGCAGCAGAACAACGCACAGGGCCUUUGGAAGGCGGCUUUUCAGCUCCACGCAUAUUUCAGAGCUGCUCUUGAGGCAGGAAUCGGAGUUCUUGUCCACAGAGUGGAAGAAUGGAAUCCGCAAACACACAGACACUCACGGUGGCAAGCGAACAGGAUUUAUUAAAGAGGAGGAAAGUAUAAACCUCCCAGCACAGACACGGAGAGGGGGUGAAGAGUCCCCCACAAGGCAGAUUCUUAACGACUGGACCAAGGGGAAGUCUUGUGGAUAGGCAUUUUA